UACGUAGGGUGCGAGCGUUGUCCGGAAUUACUGGGCGUAAAGAGCUCGUAGGUGGUUUGUCGCGUUGUUCGUGAAAACUCACAGCUCAACUGUGGGCGUGCGGGCGAUACGGGCAGACUGGAGUACUGCAGGGGAGACUGGAAUUCCUGGUGUAGCGGUGGAAUGCGCAGAUAUCAGGAGGAGCACCGGUGGCGAAGGCGGGGUCUCUGGGCAGUAACUACGCUGAGGAGCGAAAGCGUGGGGAGCGAACAGG
rnacentral:rRNA from 1 species